GCCGUGUACCCCGACUUCACCUCUAUGCGGGAACAGUACUGUUCGCAACCAAUAUGUGUAUUGGAGUCAAUACCUACUUACAGAGCGUGCCGCGACUUUGACAGCUAACUUCUUUGCUACCGGCGACGACUAUGUCUCCCCGAUCACCUUCCCCGAGCUUGUCGGACGGUGAACCAUCCACGCUAUGAAUUAUGAAACACAUAUAGUAGAGAAAAUAAAAGUGCAAUGUUGCAUAUCCACUUCUGCUGCGAUACUAAGAAAAAAGGUAAUAAGCUAGCAAACGUUACAUUAUUUCGUUUGUAAAAUUACAAACUUUUACGAGCCUCGAGUAGGAUUCCGAGACUCUCCGAUCUGCUAAGGAAAAAAAUGUGAAAAUAAUAAUUGUAUUGUGAUAUACGUGUAAGAGAUAAGGAUUAAGAUUUAAUGAUAUAAUCGUAAAAUGUUGUGCUUGAUGUUGGAUGCGGUGGUUAUUAACCUGGAAUAUGGUCUUAGCUAGGUUCCAAACAUGACCUCCUGUCGAGCCUACCGAAAGAAAUGUACAAAAUGGUGGGGGGGGGGGGGGGGGGGGGGAGAGAGACAUGCGUGCUGAAGUAAAUAAAUCAACGUAGUCGAUUAGACAUUCUUCGAAACAAAUCUUAUUCUAGCGAUGCAUCAAAAUGUUGAACAAUUAUAUUCCAUACGUUUUUGUGACGGCUUGUAAAAUUCAUCACCAAUACCUUCUGCAAUGAAAAAAUAAGAUUCAUACUGAAUGAAAUAAAUCGAGAGAGAUUCAUUACCGAUAUAGUCGGCUCAUAUUACUCUAGUCAUUGCUAAACCUGCCAGUAGGGCCGGUCGGAAUAUCGAUUCCGUUAGGUACGCAGUCGGCCCCCUUGCAGUGCUCAUGUUCAAGUAGUUGUUCAUCCCAACAUCAUCAAAAAGGCCCCCACCCAAGAAGAAUGCACACGACCCGCUCUAUAUCGCCUUGCGACAAACACUGAAGAGGCGCCUUCAUCAUGGCCAUCAUCCAAAGAAAACCGAAAGGAAAGUUGGUCGCUAAUAAUGAUACCCUUAACGUCCCCAUUGGUUAUGUAUCUAGUUCUGUUUGUUUGAUUUUUAGUGACCAGGUUUCAGCUUAUAUAAGGACCGGUUUUCGGUAGCUACGGGAACCGUAAGUUGACUGCUGUUAAAGGAGAAAGUGAUUGACUGUAACGUAAAUGCAUGGUUGCUUGUACGUUACAUGUAUAUUCCAUAUAACGUAGGUUACUGCAUCUCCUAAUGUUUGUGGAGCAUGUGUGCUGUUUUGGUUAGGAAAUCAACUAUUGACAGGUUUCGGAAAUCGAUGUUUUUCGGAACAAUCCACGGAACUUUAGUCAAUCUCUAACUUCGGAUUGGGAAAAAGAUUUUUACCUCACAAAUUAAUCUCGUCAAUUUACCUCACCACUCACAAAUGUUACAAUAUAAAAAAAGUGUAAAACAAAAUCAUUGGCUAGUAAGAGAGAAAAAGAUAGCAUUUGUGCGUGAAUAUGACGAGACAAAUUAUUUUCUCUCACGACAAGACAAUAAACUUCUCCCUUUUAGAUUAGAGUCAAAGGCAACACUGAAAUUGAUCUCCGAAUUGAGACAUGUUAAAUAAUUUGGUAAAAUUAUAAGUGCGAGAAAAGUACUCAUCCACACGAAAAUCAACAAAAUGUCAAUUAAUUACCCAUCACUUUCUUCAAACUUAUUUUAGUUGCCACAAAGCACUUCUCCCAAAUCAUACAACUUCUAUAUAUCAAAAGUCUUCAGGAAAGGUAUAGCAACCCAUUAACGACCACUUUAAGCUUAUUGUCGCUAUAAAUAGAUCCAAAACUUAAUGCCCAUUCUUCACAACCAAAAACCUGUCGUUAAAAAUACAACCAUAGAGCACACGUAUGCAAUGGAGUCGAAAUGCGGGCUAUUAUCGACACCAGUUGUGGCUGCUGCUCUAGUUCUUCAUCUCUUCUUCUGGGUGGUGCUUCUGAAUAACCCUCUUCAGUGUUCGUCAACAAGCAAUUAUUGUGCAAGCGUUACGGGGUUGUUCAUACUCGGUGGCUUCGCGCUUGAUGUCGGGCAGAACAACUACCUGAACACGUCGGCGAAAGCUAACCAACCGUUCAACGGUAUCGAUUUCCCUGGCUCUGUGCCAACCGGCAGGUUCAACAACGGAAGAAAUUUAGCCGAUGCUGUUGGUAAGAAUCGAUCUACAAAUUUAAUAAUGUGAUCAUUAAUAUUUUUUCGACCCAUUAAUUUAUAAAACAAAAUUACUAUGCUAAUGGUUCACUUCGGGCAGCUGCCCUGUUUUGUUAUGACUUAAGUCCGCCACCGUAUUUCGUGCAUUACUACUCCGACGACUUCAUCGAGAGUGUUUUAGCGGCAGGGGGGGGGGACAUGGCUUCUGGAGGCUCCGGAGUUUUCAGAUCGACCAGGUUUAAUGAAGUACGUACUUCCCUAACCGUAUUUUUUGUUUGUUUUUUUCUUCUUCUUAUAUUUCAGAUCAACCUAACCUAAUAAAUGGUUACUUCUUUGAAGGUGAUAUCAUUAGGACAACAGGUGGACCAACUACUCACGAUCUUUACAAACUUGACAGCAAGGUUGGGGUCCCAGGCCGCCGCCGAUUACUUGAGCCGGAGCGUUUGCGUGAUAGUCCCUGCAAGUGUUGACAUCAUCGAACAAGCAGUGAACGGCACUGCUCUCACCGACCACAUCUUCCUCAACCGGCUUGUACUCCAAGUCAUUCGAUAUAUUCGGGUUAGUAAUUAACGUGGGAGUUAUUAUUUAGGUUCACGGUACAGUUUAUAUUUGGGUUAGUAUUACGAGGGAGUUAUUUUAACCGUUGGCUUGGAUCUCUCUCGAAAGAUCCAGGCCGACAGUUAUUUUACUUUGAUGACAGUUGGGGUUAAUACAAUUAAUAUAUAUGCAGAAUCCCUCAUUUUAGUUAGUUCUUUUUAGGCUUACUACACAUUUAUACAUUAGUAUUAUGAAAAUUUUAUAAAGGCACAUCUCUAAUAAUUUGUAACCGAUUUGACGUCCUAGAGUUGUAACGGUUUUAACAAACACAGCUUUAUGUUAGUUUAUCUGUCCAUGUGGCAGAAUUAUUCACUAAAACCCAAAACUGAUUAUUAAAAAACCCCCUAAUUAGCUAAUUCCAUAUGCAGACUAAUUAACCUUCUGAGAUUUUUUUUUCUUGAUUCAGAUCUUUAUAUAUAACUGGUUAUUUGAUUUGUUUGUUAUUUUGUUUUCACCAGACUAUAUACACAAAUAGAAUUACGAGGUUUGCGAUAGUGUCACCUCUAUCGAUCGGAUGCAACCCAUUACGUCGGUCUCUGAAUCCAACCGGUGGAUGCUUCCGUAGAGCCGAUAUCCUGGUUGAAGGUUUCAUCGACCGCCUCCGUCUCGCCAUGGAAGUGCAGAGACUGUUGUGCCCCCGCCUCCGGUAUGCAAUCGGAGAUGCUUACAAGGUCAACUUGCUUUUCAUCAAUAAUCCUCAACCAUUUGGUAAGUACUAGUACUAUAAUACACCAAGUUAACGAUAUGAUGGCACCCGUUACAUUUUACUCGACGACUAUAAGUCUAUAACGCACCAUUUCAGACUAUACAUGUCGCGAUGAUUUAAUUGAUUUGCUUAGGUUUCACAAAUGUGACGGCUGCCUGCUGUGGGACCGCAACGACGCCUUGUACCCCGACUUCACCCCUAUGCGGGAACAGCACUGUCCGCAACCAGUAUCUGUACUGGAGUCAAUACCUACUUACAGAGCGUGCCGCGACUUUGACUACGAAUUUCUUUGCUACCGGCAGCGAGGAUUAUGUCUACCCGAUCACCUUCCCCGAGCUUGUCGAAUCUUGAACGUUACAUCUCCACUUGCGGUACUAAAAAAAAGUAAUAAGCUAGCGAACGUUACAUUAAUUCGCUGGUAAUGUGAUAUAUAUGCAAGAGAUGUGUGGAUUAAUAUUUAAUGGUGAAAUCGUAAAAUGUUGUGCUCCAUGUCGGAUGUAAAGGCUGAAAUAAGUUCUUAGGUUCGAAACAUGCACGUCGGGUUCCCGGCUGCACCCCUCUAAGUGUAAACAUACCCGUUUAUAUAUAAUAGAAUUAUCCGCACGAUGCAGCGGAAGGUUUUAGAGAAUAAGUGGAGAUAGAUAAAUGUUUUUUUUUAUUACGGC
rnacentral:lncRNA from 1 species